AGUGAACGCUGGCGGUAGGCCUAACACAUGCAAGUCGAACGGCAGCACAGUAAGAGCUUGCUCUUACGGGUGGCGAGUGGCGGACGGGUGAGGAAUACAUCGGAAUCUACUUUUUCGUGGGGGAUAACGUAGGGAAACGUACGCGAAUACCGCAUACGACCUACGGGUGAAAGCAGGGGAUCUUCGGACCUUGCGCGAGUGAAUGAGCCGAUGCCGGAUUAGCUAGUUGGCGGGGUAAAGGCGCACCAAGGCGACGAUCCGUAGCUGGUCUGAGAGGAUGAUCACCCACACUGGUCCUAGGGCACGGUCCGCCCUCCUACGGGUGGCAGCAGUGGGGAACUUUGGACAAUGGGCGCAAGCCUGAUCCAGCCAUACCGCGUGGGUGAAGAAGGCCUUCGGGUUGUAAAGCCCUUUUGUUGGUAAAGAAAAGCAGCAGGUUAAUACCCCGCUGUUCUGACGGUACCCAAAGAAUAAGCACCGGCUAACUUCGUG
rnacentral:rRNA from 1 species